GCCAAACAGCAGGAAGGCAGAUUUGUACGAGUAUAUACAAGGUCCUGGAAUUCUCGCCCGGUUGCCACACAGUCAACGGAGCAUAAUUGGGGGAGGUUGUGCAACUGCCCGAGAAGCCGGGGCGCUCCAGGUUCUCAUCACAGGUGUCCAUGAGUCUUGGGACAGGGCCAGAUGCCAACGUAGCCACCUUUGGGGGGCACUGAUGGCCUUGCUUCGGCAGGUUCUGCUUGAAGUUGGGAAGCCUAGGUCUCUAGGAGCGAGGCCAAUGGGAGCGUGAGUUGGAGACCUGGGACCAUGACUGCAGCAGCUCCCCCUUCCCGAAGCUGCAGCAGCAGUGGUAGCAGCAGCCCCGUCUGGCAGGCCAACGAGCACAGCGUUGCCCGUGAGGCCCCCAGAAAUCACCUCUCAAGUGAACUACUUAGACUCAAGCCCUUGCCUCAGCAUCGGCUUCUAGAACGUUCCAAUGUGAGAUAUGCUGUGAGCCAUCAUCUGGACUUGGGCCUCUAAAGAAUGAGCAGGUGGAACCAGGAGGCAAGAACCUAAAGGGAGAUUAUGCAAGAGAGAACAGGAGAAAAAGGAGAAAAGUCAAAACAAACAUGGAUGACUCUCGAGGGAAAAGUCAUCAAGGUGAAAGCAGGUUAUAUGACCUAGCAAUCUGACUCUUAAAACACACCUCCAGCGAAUCAGAAAACAGAUGACGAAGCAAAUACUUUUCUGUACUAUUCACAAUAGCCAAUAGGUGGAAAGAACCCAAAUAUCUAUCAAUGGGCAAGAAGACAAACAGUGGUACAGCUACACGAUGGAAUGUUAUUCAGCCCCAAAGAGGAAAUGGUACCAAUACAGGCUACAGCAUUGUUGAACUUCACAAGCAAUAUGUAGAAGAAAAGAUGGCAGACACAGAAGACCACAUGCUGUAUGAUCCCAUUUGUAGGAAAGGUCUGGAAUCAGUGAAUCUAUAGAGAUAGACAGCAGGU